ACGCUCGACACCUACGGGAGGAGCAGUGGGGAAUAUUGCACAAUGGGGGAAACCCUGAUGCAGCGACGCCGCGUGAGCGAAGAAGUAUUUCGGUAUGUAAAGCUCUAUCAGCAGGAAAGAAGAAAGACGGUACCUGACUAAGAAGCCCCGGCUAACUACGUGCCAACAGCCGCGGUAAUCUGAGCGGGCGUGGCAAGGC
rnacentral:rRNA from 1 species